CACACACACACACACACACUCUAGUUCCUCUGAGUCUCCACCAAGUUUACAUUUCCAUGAAACAACUGAGGUUUUGGGAUGUGCAGUGACCCAACACUCACACGGAAGUCUGCUUUAAUUUCCAGUCAGCGAUAGGAAGUCACAGGUUGAAAAAAGAAGAUAAACAGUGGGAGAUCGUCAUCGACUGUAUGAUUUUUCUGCUUUGUCUUCAGCAAUUUCCUGUGGACCUUGCCAGCAGCUGCUGUAGAAACUCUGCCAGUGAUCUUGCGUCAGGGAAAUCAUUGAUGUGAAUGAAGGAGCCAUUGGGAAUAAACUGCUCAUAGUUUUCUCUUGGUGGACCCAUAACUACAGGGACCGACCCUGCAACGAGGGGCCC